CGCACUGUUUGCAGCCUAACGCUAGUUCAACAGAAAAACCAAGAAUUACGAAUUACAAGAGGUUUCGAAACGAUUCAUAAGAGGCAAGAUCAUGGCCGAGUAGGCAGAAAAAUUACGAAUUAGCGAGGGGACCAAAAUGUAUGGGAUUUUUACGAAUUAACGAAGUUUUUUCAA